GUCCUAAGGUAGCGAAAUUCCUUGGCAUUUAAUUGGUGUCCUGCAUGAAUGGCGUAACGACUGUCCUACUGUCUCCAACACAAUCUUAGUGAAAUUGAAAUCUCCGUGAAGAUGCGGAGUACCUGCGGCUAGACGGAAAGACCCCGUGAACCUUUACUACAGCUUUACAUUGAACUUUGACCUUACCUGUGUAGGAUAGGUGGGAGGCU
rnacentral:rRNA from 1 species